GCUGGGGCUCGGUGCCUGCACUAUGAAUCCACUGCUCCUUGAGGCCAUUUUUCCCUUUUUUUUUUGCCCUUGUUUGUUGUUACUAUUAUUGUUGUUGUUGUUGGAUAGGACAGAGAGAAAUGUAGAGAGAUAGGGAAGUCAGAGAGAGGGAGAGAAAGAUAGACACGUGCAGACCUGCUUCACUGCAUGUGAAGCAACUCCCCUGCAGGUGGGGAGCUGGGGUCUCGAACCGGGAUCCUUCCAUUGGUCCUUGCACUUUGUGCCACGUGCACUUAACCCACUGUGCUACUGCCCAGCCCCCAGGCUUUCUCUUUCUAGAGGUACCACAUGGUUGUUAAUGCUUGGAAUGGCAAUAGGGUAGAAUUAUUAAUCAAAGACGUAUCUUUUAUAUCUGAAGACUAUCCUUCCUUCAGGGUUUAAUAGACUGAGUCAGAUGGGUCUGAUGUUAAUCAAAAUUGUUUCUUCUGAGGAAGGCUGAUAAGCAUUGACUUGCUGUCCCCUAGGGACACCCAGGGAGCUACAAAGCACUGCUUUCGUUUUCCCUUCAGUUAAUGUUGCAUUUUGGUUGGUGAGUGCACACUUCUACCUGUGCGUACUUCUUGCAUUUGCAUGUCUCAUUUCCCGAUUAAAGCUAUGUUAAGUAGAAGGGAUUUUAAAGGAGAAGCCCUUUGUUUCCCUUGCUUUGUUUGAAUAAACAGUAUAUUCUCUG